rnacentral:rRNA from 1 species
GAUGAACGCUGGCGGCGUGCCUAAUACAUGCAAGUCGAGCGAACAGAUAAGGAGCUUGCUCCUCUGACGUUAGCGGCGGACGGGUGAGUAACACGUGGGUAACCUACCUAUAAGAUUGGGAUAACUUCGGGAAACCGGAGCUAAUACCGGAUAACAUUUUGAACCGCAUGGUUCUAAAGUGAAAGAUGGUUUUGCUAUCACUUAUAGAUGGACCCGCGCUGUAUUAGCUAGUUGGUAAGGUAACGGCUUACCAAGGCGACGAUACGUAGCCGACCUGAGAGGGUGAACGGGCAAACUGGAAAUGAGAAAACGUUCAAAAUCCAAAGGGAAGCAGCAGUAAGGAAACUUCCGGAAAGGGGGGAAGGCUGACGGAGGAAAGGCGGGGGAGGGAAGAAGGGUCUCGGGUCGGAAAACCCUGUUAAUAAGGAAAAAAAAUAGGGGAAGGAACUGGGGAAGACUUGAAGGGAACUAAUCAAAAAAGCAAGGCUAAAUAAGUG